UGACUAUUUCUUUGCUUGGAUGUUUGUAGUCGGAGCAGUCAUCACGUUGGAUAUGCACUUCAUCGUCUACGGUUUCCUCAGACUCCAACUGGGGAAAAGGAAAAUGGACAAGUUGUGUUCAAAGUGGCGUCUUUUAUAUGAAUAAGAGGAAUUUUCAUGGAACAAGGCCGGCGCUUGCAAGGGACUAUUAUGAUGUACUGGGAGUGAAUAAGAAUGCAACUGCUUUAGAAAUUAAGAAAGCUUAUUAU